UGAGGGAUUUCUAUGGCAACAACAACACAUCCCUGGCAACAACAGUCCUUCAACCAGUUGACCACACGGUGGCAGAAGACUCCAAGAAAUCGGUGUGAUCAAGGAUGGUUUGCCCUGACUUGCCUAUACGUCACCCUCCCUUCUCACCUUUUGAUGACUCCAGAUCGUAUCUGUGACAGUUGUGGUUUCUACUGUGGAGGACCAGCACAUUACGUCAAACCCUUUUUGAUGGCAAGUAAGUCCAUUCCGAGAGACAGAGCUAAAAGGGAAAGAUGAAGGGAUGGAAGGAUGGCUGGAUGGAUGGAAGGGGGGAAUCCUGCCCGUGUGUGAUGUUUCCACUUCGGCCCGGAUGAAAAGUUUCCCCGAGUCUUGGCGUCUUGGAGCCCCCUCCGAGCUAAAUAAACACUCCUAAUUGGCUGUGGA